rnacentral:rRNA from 1 species
AGAGUUUGAUCAUGGCUCAGGACGAACGCUGGCGGCGCGCCUCAUACAUGCAAGUCGAGCGUGAAGCGGGACUUCGGUCCCGUGGAAAGCGGCGAACGGGUGCGUAACACGUGAGCAACCUGCCCCGAAGACUGGGAUAACCCGAGGAAACUCGGGCUAAUACCGGAUGUCCUCCUCCGACCGCAUGAUUGGAAGAGGAAAUGUCCAGGCGCUUCGGGAUGGGCUCGCGGUCUAUCAGCUUGUUGGUGGGGUAACGGCCUACCAAGGCGACGACGGAUAGCUGGUCUGAGAGGACGAUCAGCCACACUGGGACUGAGACACGGCCCAGACUCCUACGGGAGGCAGCAGUAGGGAAUCUUGCGCAAUGGGGGAAACCCUGACGCAGCGACGCCGCGUGCGGGAUGAAGGCCUUCGGGUUGUAAACCGCUUUCAGCAGGGACGAAAUUGACGGUACCUGCAGAAGAAGGCCCGGCCAACUACGUGCCAGCAGCCGCGGUAAUACGUAGGGGCCUAGCGUUGUCCGGAUUUAUUGGGCGUAAAGAGCUCGUAGGCGGUUCGGUAAGUCAGGUGUGAAAUCUCCACGCUCAACGUGGAGGCGCCACCUGAAACUGCCGUGACUCGAGUCCGGUAGGGGAGUGUGGAAUUCCCGGUGUAGCGGUGAAAUGCGCAGAUAUCGGGAGGAACACCAGUGGCGAAGGCGGCACUCUGGGCCGGUACUGACGCUGAGGAGCGAAAGCGUGGGGAGCGAACAGGAUUAGAUACCCUGGUAGUCCACGCCGUAAACGUUGGGCACUAGUGUGGGACUCUAUCGACGGGUUCCGUGCCGUAGCUAACGCAUUAAGUGCCCCGCCUGGGGAGUACGCCGCAAGGCUAAAACUCAAGGAAUUGACGGGGGCCCGCACAAGCGGCGGAGCGUGUGGCUUAAUUCGAUGCAACGCGAAGAACCUUACCUAGGCUUGACAUUGUACGGUAAAGCGGGUGAAAGCCCG